AAGAAAACCCAUUUUCUGGGAAAGUAUUCAUCGGGAGUGCUCAUUUUUGGCAGCGAGGAAAGAAAAUCCAAACCCAAAGUAGCUACCGAUCUCUUGCUCAGGUCUUUGGAAGAGAAAUGGCUAUGGCAUCCCUUGAGAUACUGAGGCUUGCAGAUGCUCUUGGACGUAGGGCUUGAAGAGAUCAAGUGAACCUUGUCUUGAUGGCUUUUUUUGAUCAGGUUGUUGCAUUAUGAAGCAGGAUAAACAAUCAAGGAGGAGGACAACAAGGCAUGCAUGAAAACACGUAUAAUCUUACUUGGAGGAAUCAUCCAAACUUGUCAUAUGCCAAUCUAAGUGGAGCUUUGAAUCAAGAACACCAAGAAGGAGGAUACGGACAAGGUAGUGCUUUAAAUUUUUACCAAAGCAAGGGUAAUGAUUCCUAUAUCCAACCUUCUAGUUCUUCUAGGAAAAUUGUACCACCAUCUUCUAAUGCCAAUUCAAUGUUGUCUUAAAAUUUUGACUUGUUACUCAAUGAGUAAAAGAGUGAUAUAGAGGCCUAACAAGCUCAAAACAAAGCCAUAUUUUCAUCCAAACAAAGCCAAAAAUACCUCCUUUGAUAGCACAGUUGUGGAAAAAUGAUGAAAAUGAACUUGUGAAUGAGAAUUUUCAACCAAAAGGGCAAAAGAAUCAAGGAAAUCAAGCAAACAACAUCGAGCUAAGAACCCUAAUGUAAUUGUACAUUAAAGGGGCGUAACUGUCCAGAAUCUAGGUGAAGGAGCUGUCCAAAGCCAAGAAAUUGUGAAGAAGCUACCCUUCGCAUCUAGGUCAUUAGCUCAAGCACCAUAAGAUCAAGAUGAAUUUCUUCUGCAAAAUUCAAGUUAAUGUACCUCAUCCUAUACCUCAUCUUAAUUUGAUUAAGAACAUUCCUAAAUAUGCUAAAUCUCUUAAGGAGUGUUGCACAAGUAAGAGAAAAUUCAAACCAAAUAGAGUUCAAUUGCUACCCACUAUUAGUGCUAUCAUGAAACCUUAACUUUCCAUUAAGAGUAAGGAUCCCAAAUGCUUCACAAUCCCUUAUCAAAUUGGUCAUUUAAAGUUCUCACAUGCUUUAAUUGAUUUAGUUGCAGCAAUAAAUGUGAUGCCUUCAUUAAACAUUGAUUGUUUACAUGCGUUAAUUGGUUGAUAGAAGUGUUAGGAGACCUCAAGGAAUUGUUAAUGUGAUGCCUUCUUCCAUUCAUGCUUGAUUUCUAGCAAGGGUAAUGGGAAGAAUAUACUCAUUUUGGAAAAGCCAUUCAUGUUUUAAUAUGUAUGAAGCAAUGAAACAUCUUUGAGAGCUUUGCUAGGUCUUAAUGUUAUUAAGAGUGUUGUUGAUGGUUCAGUAGGUAAGCAUGAUUUAUCUUCACCUCUUUCAUAUGAUACUUUGUCAUCUAAUUUUAUGCUAGUAAUGGAGUUUCAUGUGAUUUGAAAUUGCUUUUAGAUUUCUUGAUGAGGAUUCUCCUUUAGAUUUGUCUCUUGUGGAUGAUUUGGGUUUAUCUUCUUUGAUGUCUAUGCAUGAGGAAGGUUUUUCUUCUCUUGAUGACAAAGUAUAGUCUUCAUGUGUUACUUUAUCAUUUAGUUUAGUCUUCAAGUAUAGUCUUCAAGGAGUUUCUUCUCCUUUAGUUUCAUGUGUUACCAUUUGUAUUUAUCAAGGGUGUAGGCAACCAUUCUUCUCUUGAUGUUCUUUGAAUUUCCAAGCAUAAGGAUAGAAGCCUAUCAAAACAAUAGCCUUAGAAACUACCAAGACAUAAAAACCAAGGAGAGGCUGUGAUGGAUUGGUGGAUGAAGCAACUUAUCUAAAAAAAAUUUCAGCUCCAUUGUUUGGUGUCAAUCUCAUUUGAGGCAAAGCAAUUGAAGAAGAAAAGGUGAAGCGAGGAUGUGAGUAUGUACAAGGAAGUGCAAAUAGCUCAAAGCAAAAUAGAGGUUGAAAUUCAAGGAAAUGAUGGUACGUGCACAUGUGGUCGAAAUUAAUGGUGAACUUGGUGGAUUUGCACUUGAACCAUGCCAUCUGAUGAAAGGAAUUUACAAGCUCAUACUUUGCCACACAUAAACCAAGAAGAGCUAGAAGAGAUUGUUUGUGAUUCUUUAAGUGAGAUUAUUUCAUGUGAUCUUGCACAAGAUAAAGAAAGAGCUUUGCCAAUUUCCAAUAUAAGCAUUUGGGAGAAGCAUAAUUUCAAGCCUCCAUGACAAAUUUCUAAUAAAAGCAUUUGGGAGAAGCACAAUUUCAAGCCCUCAUGACAAGCUUCAAAGGUGACACUUUGCAUAGAAGAAACUUUGGUUCAAGACUUGACUAAGCAUAUAGAGAGCUUAGGCAUGUGAAUUCAAGCUUGCAAUGGGCUCUUUGGCCAUGAAUUACAAUGCUAUAAGCGACACACAUAAGGUUACCAUACACUUGCACACAAGGGAUUAAAUUGAUUUGUCAAAGCUCAAAAUCAUUGCAAUGUAAAUAAGAGGCUUAGAAGGAAAAAUUUCAGAUAUGAUUUUGAGCAAGUGGGUUGUGAAUUCCAAGGGAAAACAUGUUCAUGCAAACAUGAGAUUAGUAAGAGCAACAUUAGAAUUAUCAUCUAAGUUCAUCAAAUUCUCUCACUUCUCUCUUUACACUUUCACAUUUUGUCCUCUGUAUCUCUCAAUCUAACUAUCUAAAUCCCACAAAAAUCACAUCAUUCUCUUCCUUUCAUCUUCCUCUCCAUAAAAUAGAGCUUUCACAAGAAUUAAGACUGGCUAGCUUGGGGCAAUUUUAAUGGGAAGAAGAGCCAUGAUCAUGGAACUUCAUCUUGAUGAUACAAGGCUAGGUUCUUGAAAGAGCUACUAUGUGGAAGAAGGAACCUUGAGUUUGUAUUAUUUUCUAGCUAGAUUUGAAUUUCUCUCUCUACAAUCACAAAAUUGUAUGACUUGUUGAUUUUGUAAUUUCAAAUGAUGAUACAUGUGAUUAAGUGUUGCAACUUGAGUUUUAUUUUCUCAAGCACUAA